GAAAAAUCCCUUCUGUCGGUACAGGCUGCGUCCACACUACAGGGCUGUGCUGGCAUAGCUACAUGCCUGUGGCUACGCCGGUACAGUCUCAGACACUGUAGUAGUGGGGGCCAGCCUGAGCUAAAUGCAGAUGAAAGACAGAGAGAAUUAACAGGAAGAGAAGAACAGCACGGGGAAAAGACCCUUAUCUGGGGGUGCCCUUCCAAGGUUUACUGGAUUGUAACUGGGGGACAAGGAGGACACCCUCUAUCCUGCACCUAGGAAGUAAACAGACAGCGCAUUUACAUUUACUAAAAUGAGACCACACCCAGCCUUGGUUGGAAACGCAGCACAAGGCUUUGGGUGAGAUGAAGACUGCUUUAGACAGGAGGUUAACAUGUUAAGUUAAAUUUAGUCUCUAAAAAGCACGUGUUGAUUUUGUUUGAUAUGUAACACUUCUGUUUCCAUUAUCCUUCCUCACGGGAAUAUCUGACUCUCUGUUCUGUGUUAAUAAACGUAUUCUUGUUUUCA